AUGGCGACUCACAAAACAACAAAACUACAGGCCCUCCAACCUCGAAAUUUGACAACACAACCCAUCAUCCACGCCUCUAGGUUGAUACAACAAAAAGAAAAGAAAAAUAAAGUCCUAAUUAGAGAGAGAGAGAGGAAUAAUUUUUUUUAUCCAAUUGCUGCCAGUUUAGAGGGCUAAUCUCUGCCCACUUGGUCUCCUAGCAACCAAGGGACAGCCAGGGUUCAGUUAGGGGACAGGCAGAUUUAGGCCUCACUUAGGCCUCUUCCACAGAUUAUCUAUUUUUCACUGGAUUAUAUGGCAGUGUAGACUCAAGGCCCUUCCACACAGCAAUGUAAUCCAUUUAUAAUCUUAUAUUAUCUGCUUUGCACUGGAUUAUCUUGAGUCCACACUACCAUAUAAUCCAUUUCAGUGUGCAUUUUAUACAGCUGUGAAGAAGGGGCCUCAUAUAAUCCAGUUCUAAGCAGAUAAUAUAAGAUUAUCAAUAUACCGUAGAGUCUCACUUAUCCAACAUAAACAGGCCAGCAGGAUAAGUGAAUAUGUUGGAUAAUAAGAAGGGAUUCAGCAAAAGCCGAUUAAACAUCAAAUUAGGUAAUCGUUAUACAAAUUAAGCACCAAAACAUCAUAUUAUACAACAAAUUUGACAGAAAAAGUAGUUCCAUGCGCAGUAUUGCUAUGUAGUGAUUACAGUAGAGUCUCACUUAUCCAACACUUGCUUAUCCAACGUUCUGGAUUAUCCAACACAUUUUUGUAGUCAAUGUUUUCAAUAUAUCAUGAUAUUUUGGUGCUAAAUUCAUAAAUACAGUAAUUACUACAUAGCAUUACUGAGUAUUGAACUACUUUUUCUGCCAAAUUUGUUGUCUAACAUGAUGUUUUGGUGCUUCAUUUGUAAAAUCAUAACCUAAUUUGAUGUUUAAUAGGCUUUUCCUUAAUGCCUCCUUAUUAUCCAACAUAUUCGCUUAUCCAACAUUCUGCCAGCCUGUUUAUGUUGGAUAAGUGAGACUCUACUGUACUGUAUUUACAAAUUUACCACUAAAAUAUCACAAUGAAUUUAAAACACUGACUACAAAAACAUUGAUUAUGAAAAGGCAGACUGCAUUGGAUAAUCCAGAACAUUGUAUAAGCGAAUGUUGGAUAAGUGAGAUUCUACUUUAAUAUGAAAUAAUUACUGGGAUAGAAUAAUGCAGAAGAAUAUAAUCUCUAAAACCAGGACAGUAAAUAAAGAGCAACAGUCUGAAAGCAGAGAAAUUGGAAAUUCCACAAAGGAAACAAUCAGGGCCAGCUAACACCUCCCAAGAAAGGAUUCUCCCAGAAAGGAAGCUGAGAAGGGAGUGAAGCACUGUGUAUUACCAAAGUCAUUAUUAUUACUAUCAUUAUUAUUAUUAUUAUUAUUAUUGUUGUUGUUGUUGUUGUGUUGCGGUCAACCGUGAAAAUGAAUACAAUCUGGCUCCAAGUAUUCAAAAACACUAAAAUCAGAAUAUAUAAAAAUUAAUGUGGUAUAAUAAAACAGAACAAUACAAUCUCUAAAAUCAGAACACUAAAUAAAGAACAACACUCUGAAAACAGUGGAACAAUCAGGGCCAGCUAACACCUCUCAACAAAAAAAUUACUCAGGGAGGAAACAGCCAGGCUUUAAAGCUUCAAGACCAUUACAUCCUAAUCAUUUUUCCUAAUUGCAGCAUUCAUACUUGCCUCCAACAGACAAAAAAAACCCAAUCAGAAAUAUUGUAUUUUCACAACCUUUAGGAAAUAAUAUCCCCUGAUGGCGCAGCGUGUUAAAGCGCUGAGCUGCUGAACUUCUGGACCGAAAGGAUGCAGGUUUGAAUUGGGGGAGCGGAGAGAGCCCCCACUGUUAGCCCCAGCUUCUGCCAACCCAGAAGUUCAAAAACAUGCAAAUGUGAGUGCAUCAAUAGGUACUGCUCUGGCGGGAAGGUAACGCCACUCCUUGCAGUCAUCCCACAUGACCUUGGAGGAGUCUACAGACAACGCCAGCUCUUCGGCUUAGAAAUGGAGAUGAGCACCAACCCCCAAAGUCAGACGUGACUGGACUUAACGUCAGGGGAAAACCUUUACCUUUACCUUAACUAUCACCAGUUCCUCAGUACUUUAUUUCCCAUAC
ensembl:lncRNA